rnacentral:rRNA from 1 species
AAUGAACGCUGGCGGCAGGCUUAACCCAUGCAAGUCGAGCGGGGUGAUGGUGCUUGCACUAUCACUUAGCGGCGGACGGGUGAGUAAUGCUUAGGAAUCUGCCUAUUAGUGGGGGACAACAUCUCGAAAGGGAUGCUAAUACCACAUACGUUCUACGGGAGAAAGCAGGGGAUCACUGGUGACCUUGCGCUAAUAGAUGAGUCUAAGUCGGAUUAGCUAGUUGGUGGGGUAAAGGCCUAACAAGGGGACGAUCUGUAGCGGGUCUGAGAGGAUGAUCCGGCACACUGGGGCUGAGACACGGCCCAGACUCCUGAGGGAAGGAGCAGUGGGGAAUAUUUGGCAAUGGGGGGAAACCUGAUCCAGCCAUGCCGCGUGUGGUAAGGAGGCCUUAUGGUUGUAAAGCACUUUAAGCGAGGAGGAAGCUCGUUUGGUUAAAACCCAAGAUGAGUGGACGUUACCCGCAGAAUAAGCACCGGCUAACUCUGUGCCAGCAGCCGCCGUAA